rnacentral:rRNA from 1 species
CCUACGGGAUGCACCAGUGGGGAAUAUUGCACAAUGGGCGCAAGCCUGAUGCAGCCAUGCCGCGUGUACGAAGAAGGCCAUAGGGUUGUAAAGUACUUUCAGUCGGGAGGAAGGCGUUGAUGCUAAUAUCAUCAACGAUUGACGUUACCGACAGAAGAAGCACCGGCUAACUUCGUGCCAGCAGCUGCGGUAAUACGGAGGGUGCAAGCGUUAAUUGGAAUUACUGGGCGUAAAGCGCACGCAGGCGGUUGAUUAAGUUAGAUGUGAAAUCCCCGGGCUUAACCUGGGAAUGGCAUCUAAGACUGGUCAGCUAGAGUCUUGUAGAGGGGGGUAGAAUUCCAUGUGUAGCGGUGAAGUGCGUAGAGAUGUGGAGGAAUACCGGUGGCGAAGGCGGCCCCCUGGACAAAGACUGACGCUCAGGUGCGAAAGCGUGGGGAGCAAACAGGAUUAGAUACCCCCGUAGUC